rnacentral:rRNA from 1 species
ACGGGGCGCAGCAGGCGCGAAACCUUUGCAAUGUGCGAAAGCACGACAAGGUUAAUCCGAGUGUCUCCCGCUAAGGGAGUCUUUUGUCAGUUCUAGAACCACUGGUGAAUAAGGGGUGGGCAAGUUCUGGUGUCAGCCGCCGCGGUAAAACCAGCACCUCGAGUGGUCAGGAGGUUUAUUGGGCCUAAAGCAUCCGUAGCCGGUUGCAUAAGUUUUCGGUUAAAUCUAUGCGCUUAACGUAUAGGCCGCCGAAAAUACUGUGCAGCUAGGGAGUGGGAGAGGUACACGGUACUCGAUAGGAAGGGGUAAAAUCCUUUGAUCUAUUGAUGACCACCUGUGGCGAAGGCGGUGUACCAGAACACGUUCGACGGUGAGGGAUGAAAGCUGGGGGAGCAAACCGGAUUAGAUACCCGGGUAGUCCCAGCUGUAAACGAUGCAGACUCGGUGAUGCAUUGGCUUGUGGCCAAUGCAGUGCCGCAGGGAAGCCGUUAAGUCUGCCGCCUGGGAAGUACGUACGCAAGUAUGAAACUUAAAGGAAUUGGCGGGGGAGCAC